AACGCACAUUGCGCCCUUUGGUAUUCCGAAGGGCAUGCCUGUUCGAGCGUCAUUAUCACCUCUCAAGCCUGGCUUGUUGUUGGACUCCAGGUCCGGGUUCACCCCCGACCGGUCCCAAAAGUAAUGACGGCGUCCGUGGGACUCUCGGUGCAACGAGCUUGUUUGAGCACGCACAGGAGUUGAAAGGUCCCCCGGCACGGUCUUGAAACCAUUUUUCUAAGGUUGACCUCGGAUCAGGUAGGAAUACCCGCUGAACUUAA
rnacentral:misc_RNA from 1 species